AUGGGCUUGUUUUUUUAAUGGCAAAAGCUAGCCAUGUGGGCAAAGAAAGUGCCUUGUCUUGACUGCUGACAGUAUGCUGAACAAAUUGGACAAGCAGGACACAAAAGUAAAGACUAGCAAACUAUAACAAGACAAGAUCCUUGGUUACCUGGUCUGUGGCCAGUCUGGACACUUACCAAUCAUCUAAGAUGGAUUACUUCAGCACUCAUAGCUAAUGUCAACUACUUCCAACAGGAAAGCUUUCACCCUCCUUCGUGCCUCUCCGCUUCUGUGCUGUGGCUACACCGGCUUUCAAGUUGGCCAAUGAACUCAAUUAUUGCACAGGUCUUCUUCAUUUGUACAUUCCCAAUAAAAGCCAGAGGGAUUGAAGGACA